CCUGAGACAUUCUGGGAAUGUUGACUUCCUGGUGUGUGUGGCAGGAGUCAAUCCCUACGUGGGAAGUACCUUGGGGAGCAGUGAGGAGGUCUGGGACAAGAUCUUGAAUGUCAAUGUGAAGGCCCCGGCCCUGCUACUGAGCCAGCUGCUGCCCCACAUGGAGAACAGGGGGGGAAGCUCUGUGGUUCUGGUCUCCUCA